rnacentral:lncRNA from 1 species
UUUUCAGCAAAUUUUUCUAUAUCAUCAGGUAAACCUGCCAUUUGUGAUGAAUUUCUCAAAAUGUUUUUACAAAAUAUAAAAUGAAAGAAGACAUGAAAAUGCUAUUGGAAAUGCUGGCAAAUGGUGAAAAAGAAAUGGGAGGAAAAAAACGAUAUUUCUCAGGUCACUUCACCGGGUACUCUUAAGAAGAAGAAAAGAUGUCUCAAAAUGUUGCACGAAGUAAUACAAGAAGUGAAGAGCUGUCUUAAUGGAAAUACCUCUCAAUGGGCCCCUCUGCAUCUGUUUCAUCAGAUGCUUGACACAGCCUGCUAUGUUAUUACGGAGCUUCUUGCUGGGGAUAAUGGCCAUCUCCUCACGCAUGCAUUUGUUUCUGUGGAAGUUGUUACCUACGCACAUGUAAUACUUUUGUAUGAUGACCCGGGCCGCCUUCUUCACAGUUUUGGUGUGAACGUGCCCCAUGUUGGCAGGUCCUUCGUAAAAGAAGAAUUCUUAUUUUAAUGCUAUCUGUGGAGUCCUAACUGAGGAGAAAGGGUCAGGCUGGCAGGAGAACAGGAAAGCAAAGAGAAAACAGCAGAUAAGCUAUGUGUCUGCCUUUCUUUUUGGUCUGGGACAUGUAGCCCUCUUGUUCAGCUAACUCACAGUCUUCCUGUUCUCAGCUAUCACCACACCCUCGGCUGAUAGAAAAAUGCAAGUUAGCUCACGGCAGCCUUGGCCUCAUCAGUACUGUGGAGAGGCCUCUUCUGCACAACCACAGGCACCAUUUUGUAAUCAACCCAGCAAUAUUUUCUCAAGAAAUAAUAAUAAACUAG